AGAAUCAACGCUGGCGGCGUGCCUAACACAUGCAAGUCGAACGCGACUUGGGGCUUCGGUUCCAAGUUGAGUGGCGAACGGGUGAGUAACACGUGGGUGAUCUACCUUCGAGCGGGGGAUAACGUUCCGAAAGGAACGCUAAUACCGCAUGAUGUCCUGGGUUUAAAGACCUGGAGACCAAAGCUAGGGACCGCAAGGCCUGGCACUUGAAAGAGGAGCCCGCGUCCGAUUAGCUAGUUGGCGGGGUAACGCCCACCAAGGCGACGAUC
rnacentral:rRNA from 1 species